rnacentral:rRNA from 1 species
ACGGGAGGCAGCAGUGGGGAAUAUUGGGCAGUGGGCGAAAGCCUGACCCAGCAACGCCGCGUGAAGGAAGAGGGUCUUCGGAUUGUGAACUUCUUUUAUGAGGGACGAAGGACGUGACGGUACCUCAUGAAUAAGCCACGGCUAACUACGUGCCAGCAGCCGCGGUAAUACGUAGGUGGCGAGCGUUAUCCGGAUUUACUGGGUGUAAAGGGCGCGUAGGCGGGGAUGUAAGUCAGAUGUGAAAUCUAUGGGCUUAACCCAUAAACUGCAUUUGAAACUGUAUCUCUUGAGUGCUGGAGAGGUAGAUGGAAUUCCUUGUGUAGCGGUGAAAUGCGUAGAUAUAAGGAAGAACACCAGUGGCGAAGGCGAUCUACUGGACAGUAACUGACGCUGAGGCGCGAAAGCGUGGGGAGCAAACAGGAUUAGAUACCCUGGUA